AUGUGUUUACAGUAUGUCUCAUCCUUACUCUUUCUUCACUUUGGCUAUCUGAAGCCAAUUUUUUUUUCCUUUUUUUGCCUUCUAGUUAAGCAGAAUGGAUUCAUCUCCAACUCUGCACUCUGCUGUAUCUUCCCAUGGAAUUUGUGCAUUGCAAGAGUGAAUAGCUUCCACUCUUUUGGCACAUUGCUUUCUCUCAGCCACAUAUAGAAAUGGAAAACGGUCUGCAUGCCCCAGUGUGGCUUUUGUUUGUAUCCAGUCACUCCAGCAUGAAUUCUAAAACCUGGAUCUGUUUCCCCUCCCACACCGAAGAUUUUUGACUAUGAAAGGAUUCAUCUUUUACAAUGAAAAUUGGUUUCAAUGCCCUUAAACAUGUUUUUGCUUCUGGGUUUCUGGGUUUUGUUACUAAACAUCCUUGUUCUUUUACAUGUGUCUCCACUCUCUUGGCCUCAGAACAAAGUAACUUAUACUGUUGUCAGACCAAUUAUCAAUCUGGGAUAGAUUCUGUAAAACUGUGUUUUUUUUUUUAAAUGCUAGUGAAUAAACCUCAGUGAAUAAGUUUUAUUAUUUUGUUUGUUCCCUCAUUUCUCCAUUUGUUUAAUCGAUAAUUUAAGCAUUGGCUGUAUGUUAGGACCAGUGUAAUCUGGAGCUGUGAAUAUGAGUGAGACAGGGUAUCCUGCCUGGGGAUGGGUUGAAAAUGCACUAGAACAGAAGGUCAUUUUUUUGGAGGGGGGAAGUUGGGAGGAGACUGAGUGUUGCUCUGUUGACCAGGCUGGAAUGCAGUGGCAUGAUCUCUACUCACUGCCACCUCCACCUCCCAAGCAAUUCUCCUGCAUCAGCCUCCUGAAUAGCUGAGAUUACAGGUGUGUGCCACCACACCCAGUUAAUUUUUGUACUUUUAGUAGAGAUGGGAUUUUGCCAUAUUGGCCAGGCUGGUCGAACUCCUCACCUCAGGUAAUCUGCCCGUCUCAGCCUUCCAAAGUGCUGGGAUUACAGGUGUGAGCCACGGCGCCAGGCCUCAUAAUGUAUUUUGGAUAGGAAAUCCCUUAUGCUGGGAAAAAGGAGCUUAAAAAUAAUAAUUUCUUAUAAAUUUUAUUCCUUAUGCUUUUUCACAAUCAGUGCUGCUGCUUUGUAAGUUUCUACUUCCUGUCUAAAAUGUGCAAUAUUGGCAAUGUACAUACAUUGAAAAGAGGGAGAUUUUUAUUUCAUUGAAAUAUGGUAGCAACCGAACAUUUAAAAACAGACAACUAACCAGAUAUGCUAGUUGUUAUACACAAUGAGGUCUGCAUUUCCUUUUUGCAUUCAGGAAAGAAAAGAAAAACAAAACAUAUGGCCAUUUAUAAAUAUUUGUAAGAAGGGAGUUUCUUCAUAAUUAAAUUCAGAAUAAAAAGGAAAAUAACAGAUAAAGAAAAAGAAAAAAAAGCAUUAGUAAGGUUUAAUAAUAAUUUAUAUUCCAAAGAAGAUUGGGGAGAUUGGGAAAAUGAGAUGGUGACGGAAGAAACCUGUUAAAAAGGGAUUUAUAAUUUUAAGCGAACAGGGAAUGAAGUGAGAGAUAAGUAUUUCUUUAUCAAAAAUGCAGAUUUUAGUUUCAAAUUCA
rnacentral:lncRNA from 1 species